CCUACGGGAGGCAGCAGUGAGGAAUAUUGGUCAAUGGCCGGAAGGCUGAACCAGCCAAGCCGCGUGAAGGACGAAGGUGCCAAGCAUUGUAAACUUCUUUUGUAAAGGGACAAAAUCAGGCUCGAGAGCCUGACCGAGGGUACUUGAAGAAAAAGCAUCGGCUAACUCCGUGCCAGCAGCCGCGGUAAUACGGAGGAUGCGAGCGUUAUCCGGAUUUAUUGGGUUUAAAGGGUGCGUAGGCGGACUGUUAAGUCAGCGGGAAAAGCCCGGGGCUCAACCCCGGCAAGCCGUUGAAACUGGUCGUCUUGAGAUGUGGAGAGGUAUGCGGAAUGCGUAGUGUAGCGGUGAAAUGCUUAGAGAUUGCGCAGAACUCCGAUUGCGAAGGCAGCAUACCGGCGGCGAUCUGACGUUGAGGCACGAAAGCGUGGGUAGCGAACAGGAUUAGAUACCCGAGUAGUC
rnacentral:rRNA from 1 species